UUCUUUCUCUCAGAAGGUCUUCCUACAUCCGCUCAUCUCCUCCAGGCCAUGCCCCAUCCCCCAGCUCCCAGCAUCUGCAGCUUAAAAUAGCUCAGACCACGUCCUCUCCUCUUUAAACCCUUCUGGGGAUGCCCAUUGCUCUUAAGAUAUUGUGCCGACUCCUCACUAUGAUUUUCAGAGCCCUGUGGUUUGACUUCUGUUGACCUCUGACCUCCCCUUCCGGGGAGGCUCUAUUUUGCCUCCAGGGCUUUGCCCUAGCGUUUGCUUUGCCUGGAACGCCACUCUUUGCUCCAGGUUAUUCACUUCUCAAGUAUAAUGGUAAUUGAGCUACGAUGAUUUAUAGGAAAUGUAUAUUUGGUCAUUCAGAUGACCAAAAUAUGUUUCUCAGAUAUCUUUGACCUUGCUUGAUCCACAGUUCUUGAAAACAAUUCAGAGCCAUAAAGGUGAAAUGGGUGUCUUGUUAUUAGUGAGGGUGACUUUCGGAUCCCACCCAAAGGCGGGGCUGGUGGCCUGGAGGACCAAACCUGUGAUUAGAGGACUGGAACUUUCCCAAACCCCUCCCUGCCCCCCCUUUCCAGGAGGGGGAGGGAAUGGAGGUUGAGUCAGCCAGUGGCCAGUGACUUGGUCAAUCAUGACGAUAUAAUGAAGCCUCCCUAAAAACCCAUUUCCGGAGAGCUUCCAGCCGCUGGAACCAGACUGUUCCCCUGUACCACUGAGCUGGGCCCCAAGCUCCACAAGGACAGACGUUCCUUUGUUUGGGAGCUUGCGCUGUGUAUCUCUUCAUCUGGUUGUUGAUUCAUAUCCUUCCUCAUAUCCUUUAAUAAACUGGUAAAUAUAAGUAAGUGUUUCCCUGAGUUCUGCCAGCCAGUCUAGGAAAUUAAUCAAAUCCAAGGAAGUGGUCUUUGGAACCUCCAGCUGUAGACAGUUGGUCAGUAGCAUGGGUAGCAGUUUGGGGCUUGCAGCUGGUGUCUGAAGUGGGGAAUGGGGGUGGCAGUCUCGUAGGAUUGCACCGUGAAUCUUAGAAUCUCCUGCUGUCUUUGGGGAGACGGCGUCAGAAUGGACUUGAAUUCUCAGACACCUGGUAUGUUGAGAAUUCUCAGGUCUAUCUAGAUCAGCAACAGGUUGCUUUUCCCCGUUACAUGGAAGAUCUUGGGUCUGUGGGGAUAGCAGUGGUGGGGAAGAUAGCAUGUCCAGGCUGAGAAUGAUAGAAACAUUGUGUUGGGGGAGGGAACCCUCCAAUGUUGGAAUCGGGUCCAGAAACCCUAAAAAUGUAACCAUUACCAGCUUAGGAGGCUGCCGUGGUCAUGGGUUUGGUCGCACAGCCUCUGAACCUCUAGCUUCUCUCACUUAAACCUGUAUGUACUUGUUUAACCUCUGUCUCCCUCUCUAAACUGAGAACGUCAUGAAGGCAGAGACCACGUCAUUAUCCCCAGCACUCAACACGGAACCUGGCACACAGCAGGCAGCUGGUGGUUGACAGCAAGGAGGCCCAGAGCCAAGAUGGAGAUCCCCCACCUGCUCACAAAGGCUGAAUGAUAGCUUGACAGAUCUUCACAUCGCACCGUUUACGUCUACCCAGGACGGCUACGAAGCGUCGUCUUGCAGUCAGCGCGGCCGAGGUGGUGCUCUUGACUCCUCUCCCCGAGACUGGCUACUGCCCCCUCCCCGGUAUCUCUCCACUUCAAUACUUUACUACUACAUCCCCAUUCACCCAGCUACUCGGGCCAACACCUGGGAUCGCCACGACUCCACUUCCUUCUUCCCUCCACCUUCAAAACAUCUCCCCGAUAGAGAGACUUUGUGCUACUG